rnacentral:rRNA from 1 species
GAUGAACGCUGGCGGCGUGCUUAACACAUGCAAGUCGAACGAACAGACGAGGACCUUCCUGCUCUCACGUUAGCCGCGGGCGGGUGAAUCACACGUGGAUACCCUACCUAUCAGCCUGGGAUAACUGCGGGACUCCGGAGCUAAUCCCGGAUGAUAUUGUGUACCGUGCGGUUCUAUAGUGAUAGACCGUUUUGCUGUCACUUAUAGGUCGAUCAGCGCGGCAUUAGCUAGUUGGUAAGGUAACGCCUUACCAAGGCAACGAUGCGUAGCCGACGUGAGAGGGUGAUCGGCGACACUGGAACUGAGACACGGUCCAGACUCCUACGGGAGGCAGCAGUAGGGAAUCGGCCGCAAUGGGGGAAAGCCUGACGGAGCAACGCCGCGUGAGUGAUGAAGGUCUUCGGAUCGUAAAACUCUGUUAUUAGGGAAGAACAAAUGUGUAAGUAAAUAUGGAGGACUUGACGGUACCUGAUCAGAAAGCAACGGCUAACUACGUG